AACGAACGCUGGCGGCAGGCUUAACACAUGCAAGUCGAACGGCAGCGGGGACUUCGGUCCGCCGGCGAGUGGCGAACGGGUGAGUAAUGUAUCGGAACGUACCUUUCAGUGGGGGAUAACGUAGCGAAAGUUACGCUAAUACCGCAUAUUCUGUGAGCAGGAAAGCAGGGGAUCGCAAGACCUUGCGCUGAUUGAGCGGCCGAUAUCAGAUUAGCUAGUUGGUGGGGUAAAGGCCUACCAAGGCUACGAUCUGUAGCGGGUCUGAGAGGAUGAUCCGCCACACUGGGACUGAGACACGGCCCAGACUCCUACGGGAGGCAGCAGUGGGGAAUUUUGGACAAUGGGGGAAACCCUGAUCCAGCCAUGCCGCGUGAGUGAAGAAGGCCUUCGGGUUGUAAAGCUCUUUCGGCCGGGAAGAAAUCGCACAGGCUAAUACCUUGUGUGGAUGACGGUACCGGAAUAAGAAGCACCGGCUAACUACGUGCCAGCAGCCGCCGUAAAAC
rnacentral:rRNA from 1 species